rnacentral:tRNA from 15 species
CGAAGGUGGCGGAAUUGGUAGACGCGCUAGCUUCAGGUGUUAGUGUCCUUACGGACGUGGGGGUUCAAGUCCCCCCCCUCGCACCA